AACGUAGGAGGCAAGCGUUAUCCGGAUUUACUGGGCGUAAAGCGCACGUAGGCGGACUAUUAAGUCGGGGGUGAAAUCCCGGGGCUCAACCCCGGAACUGCCUUUGAUACUGGUAGUCUCGAGUCCGGAAGAGGUGAGUGGAAUUCCGAGUGUAGAGGUGAAAUUCGUAGAUAUUCGGAGGAACACCAGUGGCGAAGGCGGCUCACUGGUCCGGUACUGACGCUGAGGUGCGAAAGCGUGGGGAGCAAACAGG
rnacentral:rRNA from 1 species